GCGUCAGUGGUCUAGUGGUAAGACGCCGCCCCCCUAAAGAGCCACACGUGGUUUCGAACCCACUCUUGGCCGCUUAAGGCAGCUGAUCUUGGAUAGCAGUUUUAUGGGUACGCAUGUUCGAGUCGUGUCUGACGCA